rnacentral:rRNA from 1 species
UGGCGAACGGGUGAGUAACGCGUGGGUAACCUGCCUCAUACAGGGGGAUAACAGUUAGAAAUGACUGCUAAUACCGCAUAAGACCACAGCACCGCAUGGUGCGGGGUAAAGACUCCGGUGGUAUGAGAUGGACCCGCGUCUGAUUAGCUAGUUGGUAAGGUAACGGCUUACCAAGGCGACGAUCAGUAGCCGACCUGAGAGGGUGACCGGCCACAUUGGGACUGAGACACGGCCCAA